rnacentral:rRNA from 1 species
UACGGGGGGAGCAAGCGUUGUUCGGAUUUACUGGGCGGAAAGGGCGCGUAGGCGGUCAGCACAAGUCAGUUGUGAAAUCUCCGGGCUUAACUCGGAAAGGUCAACUGAUACUGUGCGACUAGAGUGCAGAAGGGGCAACUGGAAUUCUCGGUGUAGCGGUGAAAUGCGUAGAGAUGUGGAGGAACACCAGUGGCGAAGGCGACUCUUUGGCCUGUAACUGACGCUGAGGCGCGAAAGCGUGGGGAGCGAACAGG